rnacentral:rRNA from 1 species
ACGGGAGGCAGCAGUGAGGAAUAUUGGUCGAUGGGCGGAAGCCUGAACCAGCCAAGUAGCGUGCAGGACGACGGCCCUAUGGGUUGUAAACUGCUUUUGUGCGGGGAUAAAAAAGGGGACGUGUCCCCUCUUGUAGGUACCGCAAGAAAAAGGACCGGCUAAUUCCGUGCCAGCAGCCGCGGUAAUACGGAAGGUCCGAGCGUUAUCCGGAUUUAUUGGGUUUAAAGGGUGCGUAGGCGGGAAGUCAAGUCAGCCGUAAAAUCGCCGGGCUCAACCCGGUCCCGCGGUUGAAACUGUCUUCCUUGAGUACACUAGAGGGCGAUGGAAUUCGUGGUGUAGCGGUGAAAUGCAUAGAUAUCACGAAGAACUCCGAUUGCGUAGGCAGUCGCCUGGGGUGCCACUGACGCUGAGGCACGAAGGUGCGGGUAUCAAACAGGAUUAGAUACCCUGGUA